AGAGCGAACGCUGGCGGCAUGCUUAACACAUGCAAGUCGCACGGGCACUUCGGUGUCAGUGGCGGACGGGUGAGUAACGCGUAGGUAUCUAUCCUUGGGUGGGGGACAACUGUGGGAAACUACAGCUAAUACCGCAUGAUAACUGAGGUUUAAAGGCGCAAGUCGCCUGGGGAGGAGCCUGCGUACGAUUAGCUAGUUGGUGGGGUAAAGGCCUACCAAGGCUGCGAUCGUUAGCUGGUCUGAGAGGAUGAUCAGCCACAUUGGGACUGAGACACGGCCCAAACUCCUACGGGAGGCAGCAGUGGGGAAUAUUGGACAAUGGGCGCAAGCCUGAUCCAGCAAUGCCGCGUGUGUGAAGAAGGUCUUCGGAUUGUAAAGCACUUUCGACGGGACGAUGAUGACGGUACCCGUAGAAGAAGCCCCGGCUAACUUCGCGCCAGCAGCCGC
rnacentral:rRNA from 1 species